AAAAAAUUAGUUUCAUAAAAACCUUAGUUUGUCAGACUAAAAAAAUUAGUUAAAUCUAAUAUUUUUUA
rnacentral:tRNA from 1 species